rnacentral:rRNA from 1 species
UGCGUAGGCGGGCUAAUAAGUCAGUGGUGAAAUCUCUCGGCUCAACCGGGAAACUGCCAUUGAUACUGUUAGUCUUGAGUUCGGUUGAGGUAGGCGGAAUGUGUAAUGUAGCGGUGAAAUGCUUAGAUAUUACACAGAACACCAAUUGCGUGGGCAGCUUACUAGACCGACACUGACGCUGAGGCACGAAAGCGUGGGGAGCGAACAGGAUUAGAUACCCUGGUAGUCC